rnacentral:lncRNA from 1 species
GCUGACUGUUAAGAUCAACUCCUUUGUUUCUGUGUCUCCAAAUACUCACCCACAACAGUCAGGUUAAAGGUAUGCAUGGACCCCUUUGCAUUGAGGAUCUGUCCCUGGUACAGUCCACUGUCACCGAAUGGUGAGUGAUCCGGUCUUUCUGUCCAGGAGGAAUCUUGGUGAUGCAGUCUUCUCCACUUUUCCAUCAUCAAAGUUGAAUAGGACAUGCCGCUCUGAACCGUACGACCAGAUGACCUGAUAGUCGCCACGUAGUCCACUGACUCCAGUGUGCAGUCAUGUUCUGUCCAGCUGUCCCUGUCAGUGUCUUAAUGUCACUGUGUCCACCUGGCAGAGAGACUGCCACAAAGAGAGAGAGAGAGAGAGAGAGAGAGAGAGAGAGAGAGAGAGAGAGAGAAAGGGAGACUUUAGUAAUGACUAAAACUAUCUGUCAGACAGAUUAGAAGAGCGUUAGAGUGUGAUUCUUUUUGUUCAGAUCUGAUCUCAAUCAGCACUGAGGCAACACAAUUACACUCUUCAUGCAGCUGAAGUUAUUCUGUCUUCAACUGUAUCAAUCACUGUGUCUCACAGAAGGACCACAUUUGGAAACUCUUUGGACACAAACACUACUAUAUUAGUUCUCCCACUUUGAAGGUUACACAUGAGACUAGAACAGUCAUACUACAUACUGUCCCAUCUGGAACCUACAGCAGAGUGCAGAGUGAGAACAGGCUGAUCAUAUCAGACAUGCUCUCUCACAUCACACUGCUACUAACAGACACAUUUACAACAAUUAGAGGUGCAGCGGAUCACGAAACUCAGAGUUCCGAUCGUAUGACCAUCCAUCACACAACCCUGAGCUGUAUGCGCGCUGCAGGUGGGUCCAGUAAAAAGUGUGUGUGCAGUAUUACAGGACAGGCUUUAACAGUACCAUUUCUUCAAGGACGACAGACAAACUACUGUCAUACUGAAUAAACCUGUUCAAAGCUGCAAGACAGCAGAUUUUUGUAUCAAAUAUUUCGUAUUAUAUAUUAGGACUCCAUACCUGUGCUAGAGGUUAAAAUUGCACUGUCAGAGGGUUUCAUUGGAGUAAACAAGUUUCCAUUUCCACCAUUUCCUAACUGGUCCAGAGACACCGUGAGAGUCUGUGGC